rnacentral:rRNA from 1 species
GACGAACGCUGGCGGCGUGCUUAACACAUGCAAGUCGAACGGAAAGGCCCUGCUUUUGUGGGGUGCUCGAGUGGCGAACGGGUGAGUAACACGGGAGUAACCUGCCCUUGACUUUGGGAUAACUUCAGGAAACUGGGGCUAAUACCUGAUAGGAGCUCCUGCUGCAUGGUGGGGGUUGGAAAGUUUCGGCGGUUGGGGAUGGACUCGCGGCUUAUCAGCUUGUUGGUGGGGUAGUGGCUUACCAAGGCUUUGACGGGUAGCCGGCCUGAGAGGGUGACCGGCCACAUUGGGACUGAGGUACGGCCCAGACUCCAACGGGAGGCAGCAGUGGGGAAUAUUGCACAAUGGGCGGAAGCGUGAUGCAGAAACGCCGCGUGCGGGAUGACGGCCUUCGCGUUGUAAACCGCUUUCGCCUGUGACGAAGCGUGAGUGACGGUAAUGGGUAAAGAAGCACCGGCUAACUACGUG